rnacentral:lncRNA from 1 species
GCUUCCUAAACUGCAGAUCUAGAGGGGUCAAGCAAGCAGACGGGGGCCUAGGUGGUUCUUUCGGGGCCAGAUGGAGAGAGUUAACACAGGACUUCUUUCCAUCUGGGUCUACAAGGCUGGAGCCAAAAUGGGGAUGCUCAGAAGACAAUGAGUUGAGAUUCCUGGAGGCAACAGGGUGGUAGACCGUGAGAAUGUUUCUAAAAGGAUCUGAUGGUCAUUCUGGUCCCCGGAGGAAUUACAGGGAAGCUGAACAGGUGGUUUGAAUCCUCCUUGCCUCUGAGACUGGCCAAGAGUGAGCCUCUGCAGCUAAGGAGAUGUGGGAACAGUGUGAUUUAGUCCUGCUCCCCCAAUAGCAGGACCUGAGCCCCAGUGAUUGAAGAUUAACCUAUAUAAAAUGAGUUUUUCUCUUUUCUUUCUAUUUUUGUUUCUGCAAUGUCUGAAUUUGUUGCUGCAUUUUUUUCCCCAGUUCAAACCAUGGUAAUAGGUUUUAGUUCCAGAUAAAUGGCAUUGUUUCCAAUUAGAUGCAAUGCAAUACAUGCCUCUGCAUAUGUAUCCCAUCCUCACCCUCUCUCCUCCCUUCUCUCCUCAUGAAGGCAGCAUCCCAGCCCAUCUAGUCCACUAAUCUCUUCCUCUGAACCCCAUAUAGCACUCACCUUUAGUAAAACACAUUUUGGAACCUAAAGAUCUAAUGUUUUUCUUGUUGAAAUCACCUUUUUAUAGUGUAAGGUCAUCUCAGGCCACCAACAUUCCCCAUAGGAGCUUUAACAAUUGCCUGCUUAUCUAGCCUCUCAGUCUACAUCUCAUUCAAUCUAUCCCCCCUCUUUGCCUCUAGAAUACUCAUUUUAAUCUGCAGAUUUGGUCCUUGUUUAAUACUUCACCGGCUAUCCUUUGCUUAUAGACAGAAGUCCAAAGGCUUAGAUUGGCCAGCAAAACCCUCCAUCAUGUCUUCUACUUGCACUGCACUCUAUCCUCUGUGCUGAACUAUUUGGAGUCCCUGAGUACAUCAUUAUUGCUCUGUUCUUCUGCACAUUUGAACAUGCCUUUUUCUCUGCCUAGAAUUCCCUUCUCCCUCAUAUUCAGAGCAGACUCUGUUCAACUUAAAGAUUCAGCUCAGAGAUCGCCCUGAGGAGCCUUCCCAAACCUGCUGGUUAGAUCUGAUCACACCUUUCUUGUGUGUUUGCUUGUAUCUUGUUAUUACCUCUAAUGUUGCACUUAUCACAUACUGUGGAAAUACUUUUUUGUUAACAUGUCUAUGUCGUCUACUAAAUCAAAUGCCCUUUGAGCCUUGGAUAGGGCCAGGUACAUAGUUGAUGCUCAAUAAAUGCUCGUUUUAAGAGCUAUAGAUAUAUAGCUAUGACAAAUGAAGGAAUAAUGUGUAACUUGUCUCCAUAUUGUCCUAAAAGACUCACAUUAAGCCUAUUUCCUAAAUCAUUGACUAUGUUCUCCAAAUUUGUCAAACUAAAAUUUAGCCCAGUAUUUAUAUUGAUGCCUUUAUAUUCACCCAGAAAAGUUGGGUCUGAUCAGAGUCAGGAAUGGGACAGAGAGAGGAGGGAUGGGAGGGGAGAAUUCCCUCCAUCUGCCUUUCUGAUGCCCAAAUCUACUACAAAUGGAGCCAGUUAUGGAAAGUGGUCAUUCUGCCACGUAGGAAAAGAAAACUUAUCUCUGUGGCUUUCUGCAAUAUACCAAAGUGUUGUAUGCUGUCCCCCUUCAACUGAGAAGCUGUCAGUCCAAGGUGGGAUGAAAGCUUCCACGAGAUCAAGCCAUUCACGUAUAGAAUCCGUGCACUGAAGCCCAGAUUCAGCCUCACACCUGUCUGCACCUUCUUGCCUCACUUCUGUUUAUCCCAUUUAUGUCCGUGAUGCUAGUUUGUACCCUUGCGCCUUCUGGGGACUAAGAAGCCUGCUGCCAAUUAUGCUUAUCUUCCAAUUGUUCCGUUGAAGCUUAAUUGGUGCCUUGUUGGCAGCAGUUUCACAGCAACCUAGACGAGGGUUUAACCUCUUGCUUGGUUGGCUGUAUGCAGGAUCACCUACUUCACUGCAAUUAGAGAAUCGUAUCACAGAGAUGAAUAGCGUGAUCACUUUCUGAAUUACUUGUGACUUGGUCUUAAGAAGAUUAUUUAAGAUUUGUUUUUUCUUUCCCCAGGAAAUCAUAGUAAUACCAAGAAGCUAAGAGGAAAAAUAAAUGAAGAGGGGAAAUUUAGGUCUUACUAUUCCUUAUAUGGAGGAUGGUGUCCACUGGUUAGAACACUGCAUGACUGGAAAAAUAGCACUUCUGUCAAGCAAAAUAUAAGAAAGUGAGAUGAAUAAAGUGUACUGGAAACUUUCAUUUCCUGCUGCCUCACUGCUGCCUGGUCCCUUCAGAUGGAUCUGUGUCCUCCUGUGUGACAGGUAUUGGGCCAAGGUGAACACCUGGCCUAGGAUUGGUCCAUCCAUUGCUUACCAGUGACCCAGGACUUGAGUGGAUGGUCUGGCCUGAAUAGAUGAGCUACCACAAUCUGAUUUUCCCUCUCUGGACAUGGAUCCAGAAUAUUCAGCAGUAAGUUACCAACUCAAGGAUCUAUAGGCCUAAUGAAGAGGCUGCCAUUUAUGGUCAUGUUUAAGAUGGUUAAGUACAAAAAAAGUGAACAAUAGAAAGGAAAAUGACAGAAAUAUUCUAAGAUGCACUGAAGUGGUGAGAGAAAUGGAGACAAGAAAAUGACUGCUCCCCAAAUUUACCUUGGAUUCUCUCCAUCCUUUGGCCUGGGUGUUUUUUCUUCGUUUCCUAUGAUACUUUACUGGGUUUAAAAUAAAUUCUUUUUCUUUCUUAAGCGGGUUUGAGUGAUUUUUGAUUUAUAAGGUACUUAAAUGGAAGAGAGAGUUUAUUGCUGGAGAUUAUAUAGCUAAUAAUUAGAGGCAAAACUCAGGCAUACCCGACCCUUAAGAUCUCUCCCAGCUCUAAGCUCCAUCUUUUCUCCUAAGAACUUCUCAAUAUUUACUAGGAUCCUCCCAAAAGGCUCAAAGAAUGGGUCAGAUUUUGUGGAUUCUAAGCAUCGUGGCACUCUGUUAAAAGACAGAGCUUGCAGCAACCUUCAAAUUAAGCCACGUAGGCAGCCACCUACUUUGUUAACGAACAUUGCUGUUUCGUUGGUUUUAAGGUAAGGGUAAUUUAGACCAAUGCCUUGAAGAAACGUUGUAAAUUACCGCUUGGAGAGCUUUACAUUCUCUUUCAAGAACAGCCCCUGUCUUCAUUGUAACAACCGUGCUUUUUCUGGAGAGACUAUGCCUGCAGUAACUCUUCAUGUAUAACAUCAUAGGCGCCUGGAUCACUUCUGUUGUAAUGUAAUCCAGUUCAUGUUUAUUCUAUUUUACAAUUAACUUGGG